UGGGGAAUUUUGGACAAUGGGGGCAACCCUGAUCCAGCAAUGCCGCGUGUGUGAAGAAGGCCUUCGGGUUGUAAAGCACUUUUGUCCGGAAAGAAAUCGCCCUGGCUAAUAUCCGGGGUGGAUGACGGUACUGGAAGAAUAAGCACCGGCUAACUACGUGCCAGCAGCCGCGGUAAUACGUAGGGUGCGAGCGUUAAUCGGAAUUACUGGGCGUAAAGCGUGCGCAGGCGGUUGUGCAAGACAGAUGUGAAAUCCCCCGGGGCUUAAACCUGGGAAUGGCAUUUGUGACUGCACGGCUAGAGUGUGUCAGAGGGGGGUAGAAUUCCACGUGUAGCAGUGAAAUGCGUAGAUAUGUGGAGGAACACCGAUGGCGAAGGCAGCCCCCUGGGAUAACACUGACGCUCAUGCACGAAAGCGUGGGGAGCGAACAGGAUUAGAUACCCUGGUAGUCCACGCCCUAAAACGAUGUCAACUAGUUGUCGGGUCUUAAUUGACUUGGUAACCGCAGCUAACGCGUGAAGUUGACCGCCUGGGGAGUACGUCGCAAGAUU
rnacentral:rRNA from 1 species